UGGAUGAGAGCUUAUCGAUAUGUGUGUGGCCCAAAUUUUAAGGAAGAAAACUGUAUCCUUUAGGAUACCAGUGGAUAUCCAGAGUGACACCAACUAGUGGUAACUCUUAUGGGAACUUCCUCUGAUGAGUCCACGCCCUUCUGUCUCCCUGUUCUUUGAUGUGUGUCCCUGUUAACUCUCAACCUCACAAAUGAGACCAAUCCUUGUUAUCCUUACAAGGUGGCUUCCCUUGGUGGUGGUGAUGAUGGCUUGCUCCUCCCCGCAGGAGGUGGUGAUGAUGGCUUGCUCCUCCCCCCAGGAGGUGGUGAUGAUGGCUUGCUCCUCCCCCCAGGAGGUGGUGAUGAUGGCUUGCUCCUCCCCCCAGGAGGUGGUGAUGAUGGCUUGCUCCUCCCCCCAGGAGGUGGUGAUGAUGGCUUGCUCCUCCCCGCAGGAGGUGGUGAUGAUGGCUUGCUCCUCCCCCCAGGAGGUGGUGAUGAUGGCUUGCUCCUCCCCCCAGGAGGUGGUGAU